rnacentral:rRNA from 1 species
UACGUAGGGUGCGAGCGUUGCCCGGAUUUAUUGGGCGUAAAGGGCGCGUAGGCGGCUCGGCACGUCCGUUGUGAAAUCGCCCGGCUCAACUGGGCGGGGUCAGCGGAUACGGUCGAGCUUGAGCAAGCUAGGGGGCAAUGGAAUUCCCGGUGUAGUGGUGGAAUGCGUAGAUAUCGGGAGGAACACCAGUGGCGAAGGCGGUUGCCUGGGGCUUUGCUGACGCUGAUGCGCGAAAGCGUGGGGAGCGAACAGG